rnacentral:rRNA from 1 species
GACAGAGGGUGCAAACGUUGUUCGGAAUUACUGGGCGUAAAGCGCGUGUAGGCGGCUCUGCAAGUCGGAUGUGAAAUCCCACGGCUCAACCAUGGAAGUGCAUUCGAAACUGCAGGGCUAGAGUCCUGGAGAGGAAGGUGGAAUGCUUGGUGUAGAGGUGAAAUUCGUAGAUAUCAAGCGGAACACCGGUGGCGAAGGCGGCCUUCUGGACAGUGACUGACGCUGAGACGGCGAAAAGCGUGGGGAGCAAACAGGG